GUGGGGAAUAUUGGACAAUGGGCGCAAGCCUGAUCCAGCCAUGCCGCGUGAGUGAUGAAGGCCCUAGGGUUGUAAAGCUCUUUCACCGGUGAAGAUAAUGACGGUAACCGGAGAAGAAGCCCCGGCUAACUUCGUGCCAGCAGCCGCGGUAAUACGAAGGGGGCUAGCGUUGUUCGGAAUUACUGGCGUAAAGCGCACGUAGGCGGACAUUUAAGUCAGGGGUGAAAUCCCGGGGCUCAACCUCGGAACUGCCUUUGAUACUGGGUGUCUUGAGUAUGAGAGAGGUGUGUGGAACUCCGAGUGUAGAGGUGAAAUUCGUAGAUAUUCGGAGGAACACCAGUGGCGAAGGCGGCUCACUGGCUCGAUACUGACGCUGAGGUGCGAAAGCGUGGGGAGCAAACAGGAUUAGAUACCCGGGUAGUCC
rnacentral:rRNA from 1 species